rnacentral:lncRNA from 1 species
AGGGGGGAACAAUUCUCCAGCUGAACUUCCAUUCCCAGCCGAGGCGGUUCCUCCCCCGCCCUGCUCUGGUUUUGGACAAAGGCCUUCGCAUCCCAUGUACCACGGCUCUUGGCUGCUUAAGGGGAGCAUGUACAUGUAGGUGAUACAAACUUGGGCAGGACCCAGCGCAAGAUGGACAGGCAGUGACCAGAGACCUGAUGUCAGUGUAGAUCAUUCUGGUUAACUUCUGCCUUCAUGGCAACCCAAACCAGGGAGGCUGCCCCUCACAACUGCACCACGCUCCUGCUCAGCUGCAGAAAGGCAGUGGCUGCGGGCCAGGCCAGCAGGCGCUCGGAGACCUUGCCACGUCCACAGGCGGACCUUGAACAGGGCAGUGCUGCAACCCUGCCGCGCUCCGAACGCAGAUGGUGCCGUGGGCCAGUGGCUGCUGCGUUGCCCCCCUGUGUGUCCGUGCUCACCAGCGGUGUCUUGCAGAUGUGACGGGCUGGGCCACUAUGCCAGCAUCAGGCCGACUCAAUUGACACAAUCGCCUGAAAAGCCAGCUGUAAAAAACAAGGGAAAUGAGACAAAGGAUUAGGCUUACAGCACAACUGGAAAACUACUGUGCACCAAAGAGAGGCUAAGGAGUGAGGAUCUGAAUUUCUGCAAAUUAUCUCAGAAAAGGCCUAAGUCUUGCAGGUUUCCACCAGAAGUCUGUGUCUGGGCAACAGCCUAGAACCAAGGAGAUCGAGCAUCCCCGCUGACUCUUCAUGUUUUGCAGCCUUCCCCCCCCCCCAAUCAGUAUGAUCUAGUCACUGGAUCUUGGUUCAGGAGAUGAUGGUCCUGGCUUUGCCACUGAAUUGCUGGGUUCCUUGUGAAUAGCCAUGUAACCUAGCUGUGUUUCUCCUUUCACCUUUUAUCCAUCUUAUCUGUGGAGAUGUAAUCUCAAUUCAAAGAGGUUGUCUCUUACUAUAAGUUUUUCAAGAGCAAUUGAAGCCUACAAGUGCACCAUCAAAUACAGCAAGAUUAACUGAUACUUGAUCCACACUUGUCUGGAGCGUUCACAUUUAGUAGCUGUUCUACAUGUGGGGCUGCCUUGCAUUAGCUGGUCUUAUUACUCCUUCUUCUUUUGUAACAGUUUUAAUUUUGGUCACUUCAACAACCUAUCCCCACCACCUUUGAUACAAAAGGAGACUUUUUAAAAACAGAAGUACAAAUGGAUUUUUUUAAAAGCACAUUGUUGGCCUCUGUCCCUGUUCCUAUUGUUGUCUUACUC